UUUGGGNNNGUAAANUNCUUNNAACAAAAAAAAAAAAAGUNCAUGNNUGNANNNUNGCCGGGUACCAAAANAAAUAAGCNCGGNCUAACUCCGNCCCANCAGCNGNGGUAAUACGGAGGGUGCAAGCGUUGUCCGAAUUUAUUGGGUUUAAAGGGUGCGUAGGCGGNUAAUAAGUCAGCGGUGAAAGACUUCGGCUUAACCGGAGCAGUGCCGUUGAUACUGUUUAGCUUGAGUGUUGGAGGGGUACAUGGAAUUGAUGGUGUAGCGGUGAAAUGCAUAGAUACCAUCAGGAACACCGAUAGCGAAGGCAUUGUACUGGCCAACAACUGACGCUGAGGCACGAAAGUGUGGGGAUCGAACAGGAUUAGAUACCCUGGUAGUCCACACCGUAAACGAUGAUUACUCGCUGUUAUGGUGUAUGCUGUAGCGGCCAAGCGAAAGCGUUAAGUAAUCUACCUGGGGAGUACGCCGGCAACGGUGAAACUC
rnacentral:rRNA from 1 species